rnacentral:lncRNA from 1 species
CUUUAAUAUUAUUAUAGAUAGAGAUAAACUAUAAACAGCAAUAAUGUUCAGCAAAAUAAGAUCUACAAAUAAGUCAACAUGACCAAAAUUGUCAAUUGACCCCUUAAGGAGUGAUUGCCCUUUAUAGUCAAUUGUUAACAAUUUUCAUAAAUUUUUGUUAAUUUUUGUAAAUUUUUAGGAACUUUUUUCCGCUGUAAUUACUGGGCC